UACGUAGGGUGCAAGCGUUGUCCGGAAUUAUUGGGCGUAAAGAGCUCGUAGGCGGUUUGUCGCGUCGGCUGUGAAAACUGGAGGCUUAACCUUCAGCGUGCAGUCGAUACGGGCAGACUUGAGUUCGGUAGGGGAGACUGGAAUUCCUGGUGUAGCGGUGAAAUGCGUAGAGAUCGGCAGGAACACCCAGGGGGAAACCAGUCGACUGGGCAGCACCUGACGCUGAGGUGCGAGAGCGUGGGGAGCGAACCGG
rnacentral:rRNA from 1 species